UACAGAGGGUGCAAGCGUUAAUCGGAAUUACUGGGCGUAAAGCGUGCGUAGACGGUUACAUAAGUCGGGUGUGAAAGCCCCGGGCUCAACCUGGGAAUUGCAUUCGAGACUGCGUAGCUAGGGUGCGGAAGAGGGAAGCGGAAUUUCCGGUGUAGCGGUGAAAUGCGUAGAUAUCGGAAGGAACACCAGUGGCGAAGGCGGCUUCCUGGUCCAGCACCGACGUUCAGGCACGAAAGCGUGGGGAGCAAACAGG
rnacentral:rRNA from 1 species